ACGCUGGCUACAGGCUUAACACAUGCAAGUCGAGGGGAAACGACGGGGAAGCUUGCUUCCUCGGGCGUCGACCGGCGCACGGGUGAGUAACGCGUAUCCAACCUGCCUCUGACUGAGGGAUAACCCGUCGAAAGUCGGCCUAAUACCUCAUGGCAUCGUCUGCGGGCAUCCAACGACGAUUAAAGAUUUCAUCGGUCAGGGAUGGGGAUGCGUCUGAUUAGCUGGUUGGCGGGGUAACGGCCCACCAAGGCGACGAUCAGUAGGGGUUCUGAGAGGAAGGUCCCCCACAUUGGAACUGAGACACGGUCCAAACUCCUACGGGAGGCAGCAGUGAGGAAUAUUGGUCAAUGGGCGAGAGCCUGAACCAGCCAAGUAGCGUGCAGGAAGACGGCCCUAUGGGUUGUAAACUGCUUUUAUGCGGGGAUAAAGUGCAGGACGUGUCCUUCAUUGCAGGUACCGCAUGAAUAAGGACCGGCUAAUUCCGUGCCAGCAGCCGCGGUAAUACGGAAGGUCCGGGCGUUAUCCGGAUUUAUUGGGUUUAAAGGGAGCGUAGGCCGUGGAUUAAGCGUGUUGUGAAAUGCAGGUGCUCAACGUCUGCACUGCAGCGCGAACUGGUCCACUUGAGUGUGCACAACGCAGGCGGAAUUCGUCGUGUAGCGGUGAAAUGCUUAGAUAUGACGAAGAACUCCGAUUGCGAAGGCAGCUUGCGGGAGCACAACUGACGCUGAAGCUCGAAAGUGCGGGUAUCGAACAGGAUUAGAUACCCUGGUAGUCCGCACGGUAAACGAUGGAUGCCCGUUGUCAGGCUGUUUCAGCCUGGUGACCAAGCGAAAGCAUUAAGCAUCCCACCUGGGGAGUACGCCGGCAACGGUGAAACUCAAGGAAUUGACGGGGGCCCGCACAAGCGGAG
rnacentral:rRNA from 1 species